AUUCAAUUGGCACGUUUCGUUUUACGCUCCGUGUUGACAGAUACAGUAAUUCCACAACUCUGCUCAUUCAUAACAAUAAACUGAAACGAUAUAAACAACAAAAACAGUGGUUUUAAUUUACGAAACACACACAGCAGCUGACAGUACUUUAUCGUGUAACAAAAGUGAAUAACUACCAACCAACCAAUGGCGGUAAAGAUCGCUGCCAAAAUGGAGGCAAAAAUGGCGCCUCCGGUUUGUUUAUUAUGAGUUGAUAAGAAUUUUUAUAAGUUGAAAACUAGUCUCUGAGGUUAUAUGCUAAAAUUGGUUUCCUCGAACAAUACUUUUACAUGGAUGAACAACAUAAAGACUGCAGUACAUACAGAUGAAAGCAAGUGAAGACAUAUGCCCCAUUCUGUGAAGAUAUAACUUUAUGAUUUGUUAUAUGGAAAUUUGUCAUUGCUCAUAUUCAGAGGGAAUAUAGACUUCCCAGAGAAGACUGUGUUUAAGUAAUUUUGUAUGGUGCAAUUACAUAUUGUUUAUUCUAGCAAUUUCUGUAACAUUGCUUUAUGUGAGAGAACCACUGAUAGCACAAUAUAAUACUAUAAGUAAAGUACA